rnacentral:rRNA from 1 species
CCUACGGGAGGCUGCAGUGGGGAAUAUUGGGCAAUGGGCGCAAGCCUUACCCAGCAACGCCGCGUGAAGGAAGAAGGCUUUCGGGUUGUCAACUUCUUUUCUGGGGGACGAACAAAUGACGGUACCCCAGGACUAAGCCACGGCUAACUACGUGCCAGCAGCCGCGGUAAUACGUAGGUGGCAAGCGUUAUCCGGAUUUAUUGGGUGUAAAGUGCGUGUAGGCGGGAAUGCAAGUCAGAUGUUAAAACUAUGGGCUCAACCCAUAGCCUGCAUUUGAAACUGUAUUUCUUGAGUGCUGGAGAGGCAAUCGGAAUUCCGGGUGUAGCGGUGAAAUGCGUAGAUAUACGGAGGAACACCAGUGGCGAAGGCGGAUUGCUGGACAGUAACUGACGCUGAGGCGCGAAAGCGUGGGGAGCAAACAGGAUUAGAUACCCGAGUAGUC